rnacentral:rRNA from 1 species
UACGUAUGGUGCAAGCGUUAUCCGGAUUUACUGGGUGUAAAGGGAGCGCAGGCGGCACGGCAAGCCUGAUGUGAAAGCCCGCGGCCCAACCGCGGGACUGCAUUGGGAACUACCGGGCUGGAGUGCCGGAGAGGUAGGCGGAAUUCCUAGUGUAGCGGUGAAACGCGUAGAUAUUAGGAGGAACACCAGUGGCGAAGGCGGCCUACUGGACGGUGACUGACGCUGAGGCUCGAAAGCGUGGGGAGCAAACAGG